CAUUUUGCUUAAAGAAAAUUGGGUAAAUUUGCAUCUUUCAGACGCAAACCCUCUCUGCACUUGUCAAAUUCGCGUUCUUCAAAUUUACCAAGAGAGAGGACGCCUGACGUCACCUUCCGCAGCAAUUUUUUGCUCAAAGUGGAAAAUUGGCCAUCAGAGCUUCCUUGUAUUCCGCCACAACAUGCCAAGGAAGGAUUCAGAGGCCACAAUGAAAAAAAAAAUCAUGAUCUGUCAAAAAACUUUGUCUUCUUGAAUUUGUGAUGUUCGCGCCUUACCACGGAGUUUUCUGCAACUCUGGAAAGGGCGAGGGCGAUGCCCCAACAUUUGCUCUUGUUGUGGGGCCUGAUGGAGACAUGAAAUCUGAGCUCCUUGACUUGUUACAAAAGCUUGGAGAAUUGACAGGAAUCAGUGCACAUGGCUACACGACGGCCAUCUUUGACAUGCCCUCUUACCAAACGCCUCGCGUGGAUCAUAUUCUUAUUUUGGUCGAUAUGCGUGAGGAGCUUUCUUUUGAAAUAUUGAAACUUUGGAUCUUUAAGAGUAUUGUGGACACACUGUAUUUUUUAGAUAAGACAACAGUACUGGUAGUGAACGGACAAGACGAGCAUUCGCAUGAGUUUCAGCGGAGCGAAUUGAUCAAGAUUUUAGAGGCGGUUCCUAUUCCCAUAAUAGACAUUAGCUUGGAUGAUAGGAACCCGAUUAGGCGAAUAGACACAUGUUGGAAAAUCGCAGGGAGGCUGUCUUGUCUGACAUUGUCAGAUGUGUGCGCCAGUCUUUAGCGAAAAAUGCUUUUUUUUUAAUGAUACGCCCCUGCCUGUCGCAUUUAUUUUAUAUAUUUGGAUGCAACUCUCGACAGUGCGCGUUGCUCUGCCCAGCUUCCAAUCAAAGGUAUCUUAAACAUCUUCUCUGACGGUAUAUCGACGAUUGCCUUUUUGCGAAAGGGAUGUGAGUGUAUUUCGAACAACAGACAUGACUUACCCCUCGGCCAGGGUUUGGCGUACCUUUAUACAAAGUAAUAGAGUGAUGAUGUUCGAAAAUGCCAGCAGACAGAGGGCUAUUUUCCCGUUCCACGAGAACAAGAUAACUAUUGUGUAGAGAACGGCAGUCACUACCAGCGCCUGCCACCCAUGAAAUUGUAUAAAGAAGCUACCGGUGAUGAACGCGACCACGAUCAGAGCGCCUAUUAGCGGCAGCAUGUAGGCCAAUAUAACUGCAACCGAGUGGAGUUUCGUCAGUGCCGAUCAAUUUACGAAAAGUGUGCGUUAAUAAGGGGCUCAUUGUGGCUUGUGCAAAUCCGGAAAGUCCAAAAACACAAUCUAUUUUGUAAGGAGUUUUUGUUUUGCGAGAUGUGUGCAUUUGCAUAAUAUAGAUGUGUAAAUUAUCGCGUGUAUGUGUGUGCGAAUGUAUUCCCUCUUCACUUCGUGUCACCCCCCUUCUCGCUUACUUUCGAGUAUCAUAUGUGUCCUCGCGUGAUCAUCGUCAGAUAGAUAGGUUUGAACAACUUGAAAUGGUUUUUCCACAUGAAGAAUAGAGGUGUCCGGGUUGUAGUCGGGCGGCGAAUAGCCAUGAGCAUAGGCAAAAGAGCGCGAUACACACACCACCUCGAACCAAGAAUAGCUUAUGAACUAGAACGCGAGAAUUUCUAAAUUUGUGGUUUUAUAUAAAAAACUUUACAAGACUUUUAGGUAGUAAAUUCUAGAAAGAACAAUGGCUGAAAUUAACCUCGCGAACAUUCUCUUGAUGUUCAGCAUCUUGAUCUGCUUGCUCGAUUUGAGUACUGGCAUAGUGGGAUGCGUUAGAGCAAACGUAGGAGAUCUUAGCCUCCGUCUCGGAGUUAAGGGCAGCACGACUAUGAACGUGAAUGGAGGAUAUGCUAUCUUUUUCUCUUCAGUAGCACUUAUUAUUUUGUCUGCCUUUACUAUGGUCGGGGAGCUGAAUCCUAGAAUAGUGACCAACGUUUCAAUUAUGCCGCAGAGCACUUAUUUCAAGUCAUUUCUCUACGCUAUAAUGGCCAUACUUUGUUUGGGUUUAGCUGGUGAUUUAGGGUUUGCAUCUAUGAUCAUCACACUCGUCUACCUCGUAUUUUUCCUGAUUGU